GGUCCCGUGGCCGAGCGGUCAGGCAGAGGUCUGCAAAACCUCGUACGGCGGUUCGAAUCCGCCCGGGACCU
rnacentral:tRNA from 1 species